CUCUGAAUGUCAACGUGAAGAGAUUCAAGCAAGCGCGGGUAAACGGCAGGAGUAACUAUGACUCUUUUAAGGUAGCCAAAUGCCUCGUCAUCCAAUUAGUGACGCGCAUGAAUGGAUCAACGAGAUUCCCUCUGUCCCUAUCUACUA
rnacentral:ncRNA from 1 species